AUUGAACGCUGGCGGCAGGCCUAACACAUGCAAGUCGAACGAGUGGCGGACGGGUGAGUAAUGUCUGGGAAACUGCCUGAUGGAGGGGGAUAACUACUGGAACCGGUAGCUAAUACCGCAUACCAUCGGAUCUGCCCAGGUGGGAUUAGCUAGGGGGUGGGGUAACGGCUCACCUAGGCGACGAUCCCUAGCUGGUCUGAGAGGAUGACCAGCCACAUUGGAACUGAGACACGGCCCAGACUCCUACGGGAGGCAGCAGUAGGGAAUAUUGCACAAUGGGCGCAAGCCUGAUGCAGCCAUGCCGCGUGUAUGAAGAAGGCCUUCGGGUUGUAAAGUACUUUCAGCGGGGAGGCGGUACUCGCAGAAGAAGCACCGGCUAACUCCGUGCCAGCCGCCGCGGUAAUUC
rnacentral:rRNA from 1 species